GACGAACGCUGGCGGCGUGCCUAAUACAUGCAAGUUGAGCGCUGAAGGUUGGUACUUGUACCGACUGGAUGAGCAGCGAACGGGUGAGUAACGCGUGGGGAAUCUGCCUUUGAGCGGGGGACAACAUUUGGAAACGAAUGCUAAUACCGCAUAAAAACUUUAAACACAAGUUUUAAGUUUGGAAGAUGCAAUUGCAUCACUCAAAGAUGAUCCCGCGUUGUAUUAGCUAGUUGGUGAGGUAAAGGCUCACCAAGGCGAUGAUACAUAGCCGACCUGAGAGGGUGAUCGGCCACAUUGGGACUGAGACACGGCCCAAACUCCUACGGGAGGCAGCAUUAGGGAAUCCUCGGAAAUGGACGAAAGUCUGACCGAGCAACGCCGCGUGAGUGAAGAAGGUUUUCGGAUCGUAAAACUCUGUUGGUAGAGAAGAACGUUGGUGAGAGUGGAAAGCUCAUCAAGUGACGGUAACUACCCAGAAAGGGACGGCUAACUACGUGCCAGCAGCCGCCGCCG
rnacentral:rRNA from 1 species